rnacentral:rRNA from 1 species
UCGACUCGAUGAGAGGCAUGACGGGUAAGGGGAGGGGCGGGGGGGUGGUCGGGAGUGAGUGGGCUGUAAGUGCACGGUGUGGGUUGGUUGCUGCGGCUGGGAGAACCGGCGGCUUAACCGUGGGCUUGCAGCCGAGACGGGCGGGCUAGAGUUCGGUAGGGGAGACUGGAAUUCCUGGUGUAGCGGUGAAAUGCGCAGAUAUCAGGAGGAACACCGGUGGCGAAGGCGGGUCUCUGGGCCGAUACUGACGCUGAGGAGCGAAAGCGUGGGGAGCGAACAGGAUUUGAUACCCUUGUAGUC